UGCACCGGAUCCCAUCAGAACUCCGCAGUGAAGCGUGCUUGGGCGAGAGUAGUACUAGGAUGGGUGACCUCCUGGGAAGUCCUCGUGUUGCACCCC
rnacentral:rRNA from 1 species